AACCCUAGACAGGGGAUCACUAGGCUCAUGGGUCGAUGAAGACCGCAGCAAACUGCGCGUCGUCGUGUGAACUGCAGGACACA
rnacentral:rRNA from 1 species